GACAGCUCGGGAUUCCUGAGGCUGAAGACAACAAUGACCAGAGGCACUCCGGCGGCGCAAUUAGGGUUUCGCUGUGAACCCUAACAGCUGUGGCAGCGGCACUUUUUAUUUUUUAAGAUUUAAUUUUUUCCAAUGUAUCAAACCGUUUGUGUUCUUCUAAUCCGUCUCUUGCUCUAAUUGUUUAUUUGUUUUUUUAUUUUCUUCAGGUGCAGUCCAAGUUAAGUUUGCGAAAAUUUAGUCAUAAAAUUAAGCAUCAAUUUUUUUUAUUAGAGAAGGCUUGCAUUUGGCUUUAUUUCAUGUAUGGAAACAAGCUUUGUGAUGACAAAGUUCCUGAUCUGAUUCACCAUACAUAUACUAUUUGGAGUUCCAGUUUAGUGACAUGAAUCAAUGAAAUCUGCAGAAGUGAAAAGCUCCACCUUCAAGAUCGUUCAUAGCAUUCAAAACCUAGUAAGGACCCGGCAUUGGGUUCAGAUGACUGUGGUAUUGGGCUUUCUCGGCUUCAAUGACGCAAAUACU